UACGUAGGGGGCAAGCGUUAUCCGGAUUUACUGGGUGUAAAGGGAGCGUAGGCGGCGAUGCAAGUCAGAAGUGAAAGCCCGGGGCUCAACUCCGGGACUGCUUUUGAGACUGUGUUGCUAGAUUGCAGGAGAGGUAAGUGGAAUUCCUAGUGUAGCGGUGAAAUGCGUAGAUAUUAGGAGGAACACCAGUGGCGAAGGCGGCUUACUGGACUGUAAAUGACGCUGAGGCUCGAAAGCGUGGGGAGCAAACAGG
rnacentral:rRNA from 1 species